rnacentral:tRNA from 2 species
GCAUCCGUUGCUCAGCUGGAUAGAGUACUCGGCUACGAACCGAGCGGUCGGAGGUUCGAAUCCUCCCGGAUGCACCA